rnacentral:rRNA from 1 species
UACGUAGGGCGCAAGCGUUAUUCGGAAUUAUUGGGCGUAAAGAGCUCGUAGGCGGUUUGUCGCGUCUGCCGUGAAAGUCCGGGGCUCAACUCCGGAUCUGCGGUGGGUACGGGCAGACUAGAGUGAUGUAGGGGAGACUGGAAUUCCUGGUGUAGCGGUGAAAUGCGCAGAUAUCAGGAGGAACACCGAUGGCGAAGGCAGGUCUCUGGGCAUUAACUGACGCUGAGGAGCGAAAGCGUGGGGAGCGAACAGG